GUUAACAGUGGCCGUCCAGGCUGGGCAGAACACAUGGGGAAGGACAGCCCUGCUCCAAGGGGCUUGUGCCCUUACCAACAAGGUGACGAGCAAGACAUGAAUUGUUAACUUUUCUCUUCAACAGAAGUGCCAAUUGUGUGCCUGGCUGAGAACAUGCAGGAACAGCAGCGCUGGCGGUGGAAGGGAAACCCACAUCUCUUAAGUACCAGAUCAGCAGCUCCUCCAAAGAUUGCUGGGUUUGCUCUGGUUGCUGUGUGAUGCUCAGCCCCUGAAGUGGAGCCUGUGCUGGGGCCAGUGCUUGCUGCAGCUGGUGGAGUGUUUUGGAGGUAGUUAUGCUGCCUUAAUCACAGCAAUACUGGAGCUCUUCAGUAAGUGUAUCACCACGGGACCUGCAUUUAUAUUUUGUGGCUCUUCCUUCUUCCCUGUCCCUGAGAUGAUGACCCAGGAGGAGGAUGUGAUUAGUGUUUUCUGCCAUGGGAUGUCAGCUGAGGGAUAAGAACUGUGUGCCAAGAGAAGGAAAGAGCUGCCACAGAUGGAUGAAGACUGUCGCUUUCAAGCAUGAAGCACAGCAAGUCCAAACCAGAUCCCCAUUCUCCUUGGGGGUCAACCUGCAGGGUCGAUGAGAGAAACAGAGUGAGUCCUCAGCCCUCUCAGAGCUAAACUGCAAAACCGCAGGCUUCAGCAAAACCCUUCAAGCCAGCCCAUCUCCCAGCAGAGUCUCUGUCCCUUUCUUGCAGCUCAGGACUGGAAAUAGUGACAGGAUAUUCUCUGCAGCCUGCCUGACAUCCAGCAGUGGCAAAGAAACAAAGCACGGAUCCAGGUAUUGCCUGCUGCUGGGCUUAUAUCGCAAGCACUCAGGAGCAGUAAAAAGAGUGCUGAGACCACAAAGAGUGCUGAGACCACAAACUUCACCUUUAAUUUAACCCCCCCUUUUUAGGGAUGGAGCCAGCGCUGGCCCUGCAAGGGAGAAUCCAGGUCCAAGAACUCCAAGGAAUCAGAGACCCUUCAAGACAUUUAAUGCUGAAUGAAGCAGGGAGGGAUUUAGCAUGAGGCCACAAAACCCAUUUUGAGGAAGAAAAGCAGCUUGCCUCCUGCCCCGCACCUCUGUAAACUGAAGGGGAGAGCUUGUCCAUCACUGCCUGUCUCUUUGGGUCAGCACCCUGGGCAAUGACCAUUGGGUGCUCAAUGGUCUGUUGGAGCACGGUUCUAUUUAGGUUGGCUGCUGCUGGUCCCAGCCUCUCUUCAGCACAUGGAGGCUUUCAACCCCUCGGGCAGGGGUCUGUGAGGCCAGCUGGAGGCGAGAGCACCAGCCUGCUGCUGCCGAGGACACUGCCACCAUUCAUUCAUGUGCCUGCUCAGGGCACAGGCCAAACACAGUAGGGAAGCCAGGCAACAUCCCAGCCCAGUUUGGCUGCUGGCCUUGAGGUCUCCAUCACCCAGAAUUUGGAGCUCAUCUCUUUUUCCAUUACCUUUAAGCAGCAAUGGUGAAUGUUUUGGUAAUGUUUCCUAAAAAUAAAAAUGUCAAUAGAAGUAGCUGUUUAAUAGCAUGAGUCUGUGCAUCUUUGGGCCCUGAGCAAUCUA